rnacentral:lncRNA from 1 species
CAGUGAAUCGAUGUCUAGGUAGAGCAGAUGACACAAGCAUUACAUUCCUCCAUACAAUCUUAGGAAAUAUAGGCAACAGUGCAAUAUAGAGUUUUUAACAACUACAUAACUUCAAACUAAAGAAAAAUGCUAAUUUUAAAGACUAAAAGACAAAUACGUAAAAAUGACCAUUUUAAGGUUUUUUUUUUUAUGAUUUAAAAAUAUUAAAAACACAUGCAAUGCAAAUAAACAAAGAAAAAUUCCUAAAAUUAAUAAAAAUUAAUUUUUGGUCUAUUUUUUAGGAGUUAUUCUUAUGUAGGGCAAAAAUCAUGUGCUCACAGCAGCCCCUCUUUGCUCGGAAACACGAAUAGUUUUCGUGCAAAGAUAAAGUGAGCAUAUACGAGCAAUUGUUUGCCCGUUUGAAACUUCAUGAGAAGUAUUUUUAAAAGAUUUGACCGCACUCUGCUUCUGAGGUUGCCUACAUAUCCUUGGUUAUAAAGGAAUCAGGUCAGUGUAGUUUGGGAAGUGAGGUGAUGGAGUACUGAGGUUGAGAUCGGUCGAGGUGCCAUCGAGGUUCCGGUCCGCGGUCCCGUUUAUUGCAUCAAAAUCUAAAUUAAAAAGACUAACUAAGCCUAUAAGCUACGAGUUACAAGAUUCCUAUCUAUAAAUCUUUUGAAACUUGAUCUUGAGUCUUGGCUAGGUCUUGUUGCAGACUCUAAUCUAAAUCUUAAUGCUUGUCAGCUGCAUAUGCUGGUUCUUUCUUCAGCAUUUGGAUCAAAGAGGGACAUGCGAAACUUUUGACUUUGAAUCAAAUUUGAGCAGUCUGCAUUUUCUUCUUCGAACAUCCUGAGUUCGGUUCUUUUUGCUCUUUUGUUAUUUUCCUUUAUUCUGUAUUGAGACUCACGCUUCUGGUCAUCUCGAACCCUGUGCCAUGAGGUAAAACCUGCUCAGACACCAAAAAUAAACAAACGAACGAAAUUUUAUGCCCCAAUUUUUACUAGGAAAAUUUCGUGAGUUAUUUGUAACACAAAUCUAAGCUAUUUCUUUAUUGAAAAAAAUAAAAAUCGGGAUUCUAUAUCCUUUGGAAAGAUUGCCAGGUUAUGUUGGGAAGGAGAAAAGGUCCCUGCUGGGGGUAAGAGGAGCAUCCAUGGGUUAUGCCGGGAUGGGAAUGAAGGGUCCCUACUGGGGAUGAAAGGAAAAAGACACGGGUUAUGUCGGGAUGAAAUGAAAAAAGAUUCCUAGGUUCUGCUAGGGAGAUCCGCGGGUUAUGCCGGGAUGAAUGAAAAAAGUUUCUGGGUUAUGCCAGGGGUCCAUGGGUUAUGCCGGGAGAAGAAGGCUCCUCGGUUAUGCUAAGGGGAUCUGCGAGUUAUGCCGGGAUAGGAAGAAAAAUGGUCUACUAAGGAUAAAAAAAAAAUGAUCCUUGGGUUAUGCCAAGGGGAAGAAAAUAAAAAUACACUCAGGUUAUGCUGGAGAUAAAUGGAAAAUAACCCUCAGGUUAUGCCGUACGGGAAAGAAAAGACCCUCAGGUUAUGCUGGGAGGAAAAGAAAAGACCCUCGGAUGCUAGGGAGAAAAAGGAAAGAUGAUCCUCGGGUUAUGCCGAGGAGGUCCACGGGUUAUACCGGGAUAAAAGGGAAAAGGUCCUAUGCUACCAUGAUUUUGGGUUUUUUUUGAAUUAUCCUAGGGGAAAAUUCGUCAGACUAGGUUUUCUAUCUUAGGAGAAAAAAUUCAUCAGACAAAGAUUUUGACCCUAGGAGAAAGUUCAUCAGACUAGGUCUUUCUUUCUUCUUUUGUUUUUGGUAUCUUAGGAGAAAGAUUUAUCAGACUAAGAUUCUGACCCUAGGAGAAAGUUCAUCAGACUAGGUCUUCUAUCUUAGGACAAAUAUUCAUCAGACUAAGAUUUUGGUCUUAGGAGAAAGUUCAUCAGACUAGGUCACUUUUUUUAUAUAUCUUAGGAGAAAGAUUUAUCAGACUAAAAUUUUGAUCCUAGGAGAAAGAUUCAUCAGACUAGGUCUUCUAUCUUAGGAGAAAAAUUCACUAGACUAAGAUUUUGAUCCUAGGAGAAAGCUCAUCAGACUAGGUCUUCUAUCUUAGGAGAAAAAUUCAUCUGACUAAGAUAUUGAUCCUAGGAGAAUGUUCAUCAGACGAGGUCACUCUUUUGGUAUCAUAGCAGAAAGAUUCAUCAGACUAAGAUUUUGAUCUUAGGAGAAAGUUCAUCAGACUAGGUCUUCUAUCUUAGGAGAAAAAUUCAUUAGACUAAAAUUUUGAUCCUAGGAGAAAGCUCAUCAGACUAGGUCUUCUAUCUUAGGAGAAAAAUUUAUCAGACUAAAAUUUUGAUCAUAGGAGAAUGUUCAUCAAACUAGGUCACUCUUUUGGUAUUUUGGGAGAAAGAUUCAUCAGACUAACAUUUUGAUCCUAGGAGAAAGUUCAUCAGACUAGGUCUUCUAUCUUAGGAUAAAAUUCAUCAGACUAAGAUUUUGAUCCUAGAAGAAAGUUCAUCAGGCUACGUCAUUUUCGGUAUCUUAGAGAAAGAUUCGUCAGACUAAGAUUUUGAAUGGGAGAAAAAUCCAUCAGACUAGGACUUUUUAUCCUAGGAGAAAAAAUAAUGUGAAGAUCAAUGGCAAGAUUUUAUGCCCAUGCAGACAAAUAUAUACCAAGAAUUGAGAAACUUACCUUUGUCGGCUCUACUCUUCUUGUUUUUUUCUUCUCUUUUUUGUUGUUUUUGUUCGUUUUGUUUUUUAUCUUUCUUUCUUCUUUGUUUGUGAACCACUUUCCUUGCGCUGCUUUGUUGCUGCUGCAAACAAAGAACACUUUGUCAGUUUUGAAAAUGGUGGUCGGUUUGUGGCCUUGAGUCUUGAGCAGCUUGGCUUUUGCUUGAUCAGCCUGAGUCGGUCUUAAAAGACCUUUGUUCUACACCAACUCUGAUUGUUUCGCACCCAGUACCAUUUUGUAUUUGAGGCUCAAUCAACCCUGUCGCGAUUGGAGAUCUUAGCUCAGGUGACCUUUUCUGAUAUCUUCAAAAACUUUCUGCUUUUUGAGCAAUUUGUCUGUUAGAGAGAAUCACAAGUUAUCUUUGCUUGCGCCAAGCAGGCUGACAAGAGUCUUUUUGGAAAGCCUUUUCAAAAAUCCUCAAGGUAUGUUGACAGUAACAACUGAGUGCGCUGGCAAAAUUUAAUUUGUGCAACUGAAAAGAUGGUAGCAGAUUUUGAAAUCAUUUCUUGCUCAUUUUGACAAGGGUGGACUUAAAGUGAAGGACACAAUUAUGAAAAGAAACGAAUAUUAAAAAGAAAUUCCCCCUGUCGUCUUUUGAGGAAGCCCUUGCAUGAACCCUCAAGGCAUGCUGACAAUAACAACUGAGUAGUUGGCCAAAUUUACUUUGUGCAACUGAAAACCUGGUAGCAUAUUUUGAAAUAUUUUCUUACUUGUUUUGAUGAGGACAGACUCAGAGUGAAGGACAUAAUGAUGCAAAGAAACGAAUAUUGACAAGAAAUGCCCCCUGUCGAAAGGACAAAAAGAAGCUUUUUUUUUAUUUUUUUCCUUCUUUUUUUUUUCCAUCAUUCUUUUCAAUAACUAGCCUUAAUGAUCAUGACAUACAUUUUGGACUUAACGGCCUGAUCUAUCCAACUAAUCCAAUCUUCCCGUUUACCAUUUUUAUGACCUUUGAAGUCGGGCUUGUUCGUGCCAAUCCUUGCAUCAGUUUCAUGACUUACUUUCGACUAGUGGUGCCCCGAGGAGUUUUCACCAACAAGACUUUCUCAUUUAUUUAUCUCUUCUUAUUGUUGCUUUACAGUGCCCAUGAGGGUUUUCACUAGUAAGACUCUCUUAUUUAUUUUUUUCUUUUUCCUGUGCUUUUUCUUUUUCUUUCCGCUUUUUUUUUUUGGAGAGCAACUUGAUAGUGUUCUAUGUCGCGUGACAUACGUUGCUCAUUGCCUGCGUUUCUUGGCAUUCUUGAAAGCUGAUCAUGAGGUAUUUAUUUGGAAGGUUUUUGGAUGUGGGUAGGAAGAAAGGGUCGGCAUGACGACUCAAAGUUGACUUAAAGUGAAGGGUUGUAGACUUACAACUUUUGGAAUCGUCUCAUCAAAAGUGAAAUAAAUUUUUUUUGCCCCACUUUUAACCAUUGGUGUUUUUGGAACAUUUCUCUCUUUUUUUUUUGUGAAUUCUUAUUUGGUUGGAUCGAAUUGUGAGGCUGCCUACGUAUCCUUUUUUUAAAGGAAUCAGGACUAACGUAGUUCAAACAUCCAACUUAAAGUAUAUUUCAUCUUUCUUUCCGCUUCUCUUUUCAUUUUUCUUUUUCUUUUUUUUUCUUUUUCUUUUUUGAUUUUUUAUUUUUAUUUUUAUUUUUAUUUUUUGCUUGCCCCAGCUUCUUUGUUUUGAGGGCAUGGACCUUUGAUAAUUCUUUCUUUUUGUUUUUCGCUUGGAACCUUCUAAAAGCUGCCCCAGUUUAUACUCUUGGGACAUGGACUUUCUUUCUUUUUUUUUCGUUUCUUUUCAUCUUUUUUUGACUCUUGACUCUAAACGUGAUUCCAAACGAGGGUGAUCAAAGAAAAUAAUACCGGAUUAAAAGGGGUUGCAAAGGAUAUGAAGUGUUUGGAUAACAGAAAAAGGGCCUCCUAGCCUCGACACUGCCAAUCAUAUUAUCUUUCACGACCGCAGCAUUGGUGAACAUGUUUAAUGUCUUGGUGUGUUGUGGCCGAAAGACACUUUUCAUCCCUUAAUGUCAAACUUUCCAAUAAACAUCAAUUGAUUAAAUAUUCUCAAGCCCGAUCUUCACAAUGAAUUGAAGGUGAAUUUUGCUCGACCUUAAUUCCCAAGUAUUUCAAGUCUUUAUUCAUCCUCAAAAGUGCUUCUUUUUUUUUCAGUUAUCCAAUUCCAGAUUAAAUGAGUUUCUAAGAUCUGGCCAAAAUUUCCGGAUGCAUUUCAUGUUAUUAAAACUAGCGCGAAAUAACUAAGAACGGAAUGCCACAAACUUCUCUUUUUUUCAGUUAUCCAAUUCCAAGUUAAAUCAGUUUCUAAGAUCUGGCCAAAAUUUCAGGAUGCAUGUCAUGUUAUUAGAACUAGCGCGGAAAGAACUAAGAACAAAAUGACACAAAAGGACAAACUGAAUUUUAUUGAAUAAGGAUGGAAUGGUAACGACUAAACAAGAAACCUAAGAUGAUCCGAGUUACAACCCUAAAAUAACCCGGAUAAUGAAAAUAGCAAUAAAAUAGACAGACAUGACUCAUACAAAUAAAAUAGAAGGAUAGAAGGGUCUGACUCAAUAAAGAAAAUAAAAUCUAGAUCAGAACCCUGAAAUAACCCAGAUAACAGAAAAACAUCAAAACAAGCUACCAAGAUUACCUCCUAAGACAUGAGGGAAUGACUUUUCAAUUGCUAAGCUUGACAUUGAGCCACAAAUUUGCUCAACGGAAUCACCAUGGCCUCCUCCAAUUUCAGACGGCAGGUUCUCGAGAGGAUUAUCAUACUCGAUGACACCAGACAUCAUCCUCACAAAGUAUGCAUCAUCAUGUGCAGGUAAAGGAUUCUGCAUGAUAUUCUGGGUGUCAUUGUCUUGAAUCACAAUCAGUUUUUCCUGGAUCAUCCUCUCUAUUUCUCUUUUCAAAUCCCGACAAAUUUCAACAUCGUGCCCCAGGGCAUCAGAAUGGUAUUCACACCUUUUAGAAGGGUCAAAGCUUCUUGCACGUGGGUCCACAUGAUUUUGAGAAAUGGGUGCAAUCAUGCCAUAAUGCUUUAGCUUCUCAAAUAAGCUUGCAUAAGACUCUCCUAUUGGUGUAAAAUUAUCCUUCAACCUUUGUUCCCUUCUAUGCCCCUGGGUUGGAUAGUGCAAUCAUGCCAUAAUGCUUUAACUUCUCAAAUAAGCUUGCAUAUGACUCUUCUAUUGGUGUAAAAUUAUAUUUCAACUUUUGUUCCCUUCUAUACCCCUGGCAUGGAUGUGGGUUAUAAGGCAUUUGAAAAUUUUGUGGAGGCUGGUGGAGAUAUUUUGAUCCUCGUGCUCGACUUCUUGGGUGAUUUGGUGCCUAGACAACAUACUGAGGUGGAUCAACAAGGUAUGGUGGGUUCUGAGGUGGAUAGUAAUGCUCAGGGGAGUCAUCGAAAACCUGAUGAGGCUACGCAUACCUUCGAGGUGUUCUCAUGGAACCUCUUCUCGACCCUGUUGUCAUCAUGAUUUCUUCAUCCGUCUCAUUUAUGUCACUUUUAUUCUUUUAUUCUUUUUUGACUUUUUUUCUUUUCUUUUUCUUUUUCAUUUUUUGACUCUUGACUCUAAACUUGAUUCCAAAAGAGGGUGGUCAAAGAAAAUAAUAUAUGUUCAAAGUGGUGACGAAUGGCAUAAAGUGUUUAGGUAGCAGAAAAAGGGCCUCCCAACCUUGAGAACGCCAAACAUAGUAUCUUUUUGCGAUCACAACAUUGAGGAACAUGUCUGUCAUCUUGGUGUGUUGCGGUCAAAAGACACUUUCCAUCCCUUAAUGUCAAACUUUCCAAUAGAUUUCAAUUGAUUAAACAUUCUCAAGCUCGAUCUUCAAAAUGAUUUGAAGGUGGAUUUUACUCGACCUUAAUUCUAAAGUAUUUUAACUCUUUAUUCAUCCUCAAAAGUGUUUUUUGUCUUUUCUUUUUCUGUUAUCCAAUUCCAGAUUAAAUAAGUUUCUACGAUCUUGCCAAAAUUUCCGCAUGCAUGUCAUGUCAUUAGAACUAGCAACAAAAGAACUAGGAAUAGAAUGACACGAAAGGAAAAACUGUAUUUUAUUGAAUAAAGAUGGAAGGUUUGACAAUUAAACAAGAAACCUAAAAUCCGAGUUACAAACCUAAAAUAAACCGAAUAAUAAAAAUAGCAACAAAACAGUCAAACAUGACUCCUACAAACAGAAUAGAAUGACAGAAGGGUUUGACUCAAUAAAAAAAAUAAAAUCUGGAUCACAACCCUGAAAUAACCUAGAUAGAAGAAAAAACAUCAAAACAAGCUAGCUUGAUUCCUUCCUGUAAAGAGAGAAUGACUUUUCAAUUUUUAAGCUUGACAUUUCACCACAAAUUUGCUCAUCAAAAUCACCAUGGCAUUCUCCCAUUUCAGCCGGCAAAUUCCCGAGAGGAUUCUCAUACUCCAUGUCACUACUCAUCACCCUUACAAAGUGUGCAUCAUCAUGUGCAGGUAAAGUACUCUGUGCGAUACUCUGGGUGUCACUGUUUUGGAUCAUAAUCAGGUUUUCUUGGAUCAUCCUUUCUAUUUCUCUUUUCAAAUCCCGAUAAUUUUCAAUAUUGUGCCCCUACGCAUUGGAAUGGUAUUCACACCUUUUGGAAAGGUCAAAGCUUCUUUCAAACAAGCUCGCAUAGGACUCUCCUAUUGGUGUAAAAUUAUCUUUCAACUUUUGUUCCCCUUUAUACCUCUGGCUUGGAUGUGGGUAAUAGGGCAAUUGAAGAUUUUGUGGAGGAUGGAGGAGAUUUUGUUGUACUCGCGCUCGCCUUCUGGGAUGUUAUGGUGGUCAGGCAUCAUAUUGAGGUGCAACAACAGAGUAUUGAGGGUUCUGAGGUGGAUAAUAUUGCUUAGGGGAGUCAUGAAAAACCUGAAGAGGCUGAUCAUAUCUUCGAGAUGUUCUCCUGGGAUCUAUUCUCGACCCUGAUGUCAUCAUGAUUUCUUCAACCUUCUCAUUCGAGUCACCAAAAUUACCAAAAUUAUCUGAUUCAAUCUAGUCAACCUGAGUUGUGGCUUUGAGAACUAGUUGACUUAUAAUUUUGCCUGUCUUAAGACCAUUCUCAACCAUUUCCCCCAUUUCGAGAAGGAUUUACCCACAGCGGAUAUCAUGUUUUGAAAAUAAUCCAGCUCUUGAGCCUGAGGAAAGACAGUGAUUAGCUCGUGGUCAUCCAUGGGUGGCUUAGAUCUAGCUUCUUGCUCUCUCUAUUUAAUAGCGUAUUCCCUGAAACUUUCACUUUGGUUUCUUCUUCAGGUUUGAAAGGGAAUUUCAGUUUGGGGCAAUGUCCAUGUCGUAUUGAAACUGUUUGACAAAGGCCUGCACCAUGCUAUCCUAGACGUACCAGCGAGAUGUGUCCUGAUCCAGAAACUAUUCAGAUAAUACUCCCGUAAGGCUUUCCCCAAAAUAAGUUAUUAGCAAUUCUUCAUUUCUUUCCACACCUCUCAGUUGAUUGCAAUACCUUUUUAGGUGGGACUAUGGGGUCUCCAUGUCUAUCAUACUUUUCAAAUUUGGGAGUCUUGAAACCAGGCGGCAAGUGGACAUCGGGGAACAUACAUAGAUGUUUGAAGGCAACACUAUUUUGACCUGCCAACCCUUACAUGUUUUCAACCGUUGUUCUAAGAUUUUCACUCUUUGGGUCAUUUCUCUAUAUUUCAUCUUUCGGGCAGGCUUCUCGAUGUUUGCAAGAAGAUCAAACGAGUACGAGUGAUAUUCAGGAGAGUGGUACUGCUCUUGCUGUGUUGCAAAUUGUGACUCAUGACAAGGUUCUCUUUGGCCAUUGGCCCAUGAUUGACACAUUUUGGUCAUUUGCUGUUUCAGUAUUCUAUUUUCCUCAACCAUAGUAGACUCUUGUCGAACCCUCUGACCGUGAGUCUCUUGAGCAAUUGUAACAGUCUUGAUGUCAAUUAUCAUUUUUUGUUGUAUCUUGUGUUUCAGCUUACCACAAACCAACCACCUCAAACUUUCUUCACAAUUCAAAACAAAAGAUAUGUUAGAAUGGACUCAGUCAUCCUUACUAUUAUCAAUAAUUUUUUUCCUUUUCUUCAUUUUUUCAUUUUUUUGUUUGGUUGAUCGAAUCUGAUAUGGGUUUCCUACGUGUCAUAUGGGAACAUGAAUCCGAUAUUGCGUAGUUCAGGAAGAUUAGGAAUAAAGGAAAUAAACUAAAUUUAUGUUUUUCUGGAUUUGGAAUUUUCUCUUCUAUUUUUUACUUUUUUUUUCAAAAGAAAGACUUAUAAAGAAGAUAGAGCAUAUUUUUGGAUUUUGAUUUUUCUUCAGUAAUUGCAAAGAAAGACUUCUAAAGAAGAUAUAUUUUUUUUUGAAUUUCGACUUUUUAUUGUUUUUUUUUUAAUUUCGAUAGAAAAAUUUCUAAAGAAGAAGGAAAGAUAUUUUUGCCUUUAUGGAUUUUUAUUCUGAAGUUAGGAAAGAAGUUCUUCGAAAGAAAAAGAAAGUAUUUUUAAAUCAUGAAUUUUCUUUUCAAUUUUCCGAAGAAGAAUAAAAAUAUGUUUUUGCAUUUUUUGAUUUUGAGAAGCAACUAAAAGAAAAAAAAUUUGAAUUUUUUUUUAAAAACUAGAAUCUUAAAGAAAAAUUUUUCUAAAGAAGGAAGUAAAAGAAUUUUUUUGGAUUUUUAAAAAUUGGGGCCGGAACCGAUGAGGUUUGCUUACGUAUCUCACAUCCGGUAAGAAUAAGAUCCGCGUAGUUCUGCCAGUUUUAACGGAACAGGAAAACAUGACACUUGAAAAUUUUGGUUCAUUUUGAAAUGACUUUUUUUUCCAGAUUUGGCAGAGUUUCAACAUAUUUCAAAUACCUACAUCUACUCUUUUCUUUUCUUUUUUCUCUUUUUUUUAAUUUUUUUUUAUUUUCUUUCCCUAUUCUAAUCAACAUGUAAGCCUGAACAGAUAGAUACACAAGUAGCACAUAAGAUGCAUCAGGAUGGUCUUUUAAUUUGGGUACACAUGUCCUAGACGGACCUAACCCAUGUGUUGAGUCCCCAAAGUCAAAUGUACGUGAUGCAAACAAACGUUCCUACAAGGAAUCCGGCAUGAGUCUGAGUUAUUCUAAGUAUAAAACCUGGGUAUACUGCUCUAGACUUGUGCACCCGAGCGGACAACUCGAGCCGAGGAGGGGGCUAUGUACCGGGAACCAAAAGGCUAUCCGGCUUAGUAACUUUUCUGAGCCUCUUUCUUAUUUCAAGUUAUGACACUAACAGAAUAAGGAGUCUCGACCAGCAAGCACAUCCCCAAAGAUGAGAAGAGAAGGAUUUCGUAGCAUUUUAUAUAUAGUUCAGAUAACAUUAAGGCGGUAAAAGCAUCAUUUAGCACAUCAGGCUCAAACAUGUAGGAAAAUCAUAUAAUAAAUAAAGCCAAUCAUAACAGCUAUUCUAAGCUCAAAUUCUUAAACUCUGAAUCGAAGUUUAGGGUUUGGAUCCCCAGCAGAGUCACUAGAGCUGUCACACCUCCUUUUUUCUACACCCUAGAAGGGGAGAUAAAGGAGUUUAUUCCAAUUUAAAGUGACAAAAAACAGAAUUAUUUUAUUUAAAAUUCAGAGUUGCCACUUGGAUAAUUUAUGGUUUCCCUGUCACCGGUAUAAAUCCCGAAUCGAAAAAAGAUUGACUUUGUUUUAUAGUCCGCGAACAUAGAAAUUUGGGUAAAGAAUUCUGUUAAGCGGUAGAAGGUGUUAGGCAUUCCCGGAUUCCGUGGUUCUAGCACGGUCCCUCAACUGUUAUAUUUGGCUUAAUUACCUUGAUUUUAAUACAUUUUAAACCUAUGUAAAAUUUUUAACUUUAUAACCGCUUUUAUUUAUUUUAAGGAAGAUUGCAACGUCAUUUAAAAUACGUUUUGAACCACGUCACAUAAAUGCACCCGCGGUCCCCGACAUAUUUUAUCUAACGUUGUUGAGAUUUGGAUUUGGAUCACAUAAAUGUGCACCCGAGUUUAGGAAGGUGAAUUGUUUAACUAAUGCGCCUAAAGCAAUUACGCGUUUUUUUUAAUUUUGUGAAGGCCAUGGAAGAUUCAACUAAAUGGCACAUCUCGAUUUCUAAAGGAUUAAAAUUAAUUAAACGAGGGCCAUGGGUUUUGAUAUUUUGUUUGGCAUGGUGCUCCUUAAAUUAUUUCAAAGGAUUUGAUUCUUCGAAAUUAUUAUGAUCGGGUUACAUAAAAUGCACCCCCGAAUUGGAUUCACGUAUCGUAACCAUGCCACGGAAACUGUACCCAUGACCAUGAUAAUUGAUUGAAUUAUACUAAUGAAAUAUAAAUAAGGAGUAGUUACAUAUAAUCAGAAUCAUGUCAUUGCUAACGAUUAUUGAAAUACUAAUGACAUCUAAUAAAAAGUAGUUUACAUAUAAUCAAAUCUCAUAGUUGUCCAGACAUGUUCGAAUAGAUUCAUUUAUACUAAUGACAUCUAAAUACAAAUGAUUUACAACCAGAAAGAAAUAGGCACGAAGAGAAAUCGAGGGAUUAAUUGCUGGCCCUCACAAUUUUGGAAUUGAAAAAUACUUGAUUCACAAUGGCGGAUACAUGUUGUCACAUGGGUUCUUAGCUUUUGAAAACAAGAUUACUACUUAUAUAUAACACACAAAAAGCCAAUUUAAUCAAGAUCUUAUCAGAUUUAUAUUAAGGUUUAAAUUUACACAAAAUACAAAGAUAGCAUUGUUCUACGUAGAACACAAUGGCAGGCCCAAGUAUACUAUCACAUUUAUAGCUUAUGAAUAAACCUCAACUUCAACAACAAUUGUAUUAAACAAUUAGUUUUUCCCUUCUCUUAGCUUCAAAGAUCAACAGCAUAGAGACGUUUGAAAAAACUUAAACAAAAAAAUGCUAGAUCUAUAAAAAAACAAUACAACAACUUACAUCUCAUUCAUGAUUUCUAUUUAAGACAAAGGGUAUAAGUGGACAUACCUAAACAGCAACAAAUAAAUCCUCAAUCUGAAAAGAAGAUGAUGAAACCCAGCUACAAAUGAAGCAAAAUUAGCAGGAGAAACAGCAACAGUCCUCAACUCAGCUUUUGAACGAACUAUUCUCGAAAUGACCUCAACUCGACCAAAUGCAAUCCAUUUUUGUAAAAGAAAAUCAAACAUCAAGAUGAACGAUGAAGAACAAAGAUAUCUUUGUCCCUAUAUUUCGUUUGAAACUUAAAUAAAAUUGGAGCGGCAGAUCGAAGCUUCUUUUUAUUUUCCUAAGAGAGGGAUCAGGUGGGGCUGUUGGUUGUUGAGGUUUCCUAGAGGGGAAAGGUUCUGUUCUUCUUUUGCGAUUUUUGACCGAGAAGAAGAUGGGAGCGCCCCCUUUUUUUUGUUCUUCAGAGAAGGGGAGGGUCUAUCUUAUUCUCCUUUUUUUUUCUCUAGGCCUAAAUCUAGGUUUUAAUAUAAAG